rnacentral:tRNA from 3 species
GGAGAGUGCUGCGUGCCUGGUGGUCGCCGCGGUUUUCAAAACCGUUGAAGGGCAAUCUGUCCUUGGUGGGUUCAAUUCCUUCCCUCUCCGCCA